UACGUAGGGCGCAAGCGUUAUCCGGAAUUAUUGGGCGUAAAGAGCUCGUAGGCGGUUUGUCGCGUCUGCCGUGAAAGUCCGGGGCUCAACCCCGGAUCUGCGGUGGGUACGGGCAGACUAGAGUGCGGUAGGGGAGAUUGGAAUUCCUGGUGUAGCGGUGGAAUGCGCAGAUAUCAGGAGGAACACCAGUGGCGAAGGCGGCCUUCUGGACCAGUACUGACGCUCAUGCACGAAAGCGUGGGGAGCAAACAGG
rnacentral:rRNA from 1 species